AACGAACGCUGGCGGCAUGCCUAACACAUGCAAGUCGAACGAGACCUUCGGGUCUAGUGGCGCACGGGUGCGUAACGCGUGGGGACCUGCCCUUAGGUUCGGAAUAACUCCCCGAAAGGGGUGCUAAUACCGGUUAAUGUCUUCGGACCAAAGAUUUAUGGCCUUUGGAUGGGCCCGCGUUAGAUUCGCUAGUUGGUAGGGUAAAAGCCUGCCAAGGCGACGAUCCAUAGCUGGUCUGAGAGGAUGAUCAGCCACACUGGGACUGAGACACGGCCCAGACUCCUACGGGAGGCAGCAGUAGGGAAUAUUGGACAAUGGGCGAAAGUCUGAUCCAGCAAUGCCGCGGGAGUGAUGAAGGCCGUAGGGUUGUAAAGCUCUUUGACCCGGGAUGAUAAUGACAGUACCGGGAGAAGAAGCACCGGCUAACUCCGUG
rnacentral:rRNA from 1 species